CCAUAUCAGGUAACUUUUGGCUUGGCUUUUGCAAAAUGUUCUUUUUGACUUGAAAUAGAGUGUAUAGUUUUUACACACGGAUUUGAGGUUGUUUGCAAAUAUAUAGAUAUGUCAUUUUCAUCCGGAGUUUUAAUUGUUUGUUCAGUUUUUCACAUCUAAAAAGACCAGAUGGUGUUUGUAAAUGCAAACUCAAGUUCGCAUAUUGUUAGGCUUCAAAACUAUACCUCCUUGGUGCUCAAGUAUCACUAAUCUGUUUGAACAUGAACUUCAAAGUUGUUCAAUUGGCAUUUCAAAAUGAUAAUAUAUAUAGUCUGUAUGUAUAUAUUAUGUUUGACAUGAAUCUCUAGUACCAUUCCCAUAAGUUUCAUCUUGCUUUCUAUUUGUGUUUCAUUGUCAUUUAUAAUGACUUUUUAAUUCGACCUGAAAAAUAACUAAAUUAUCAAAAACUAAAUCAUUGUAGUUUGUUUUGUGUUAUGUUAUUGUAUUACAGUUAUUAAAGAUAUGGUGCUUUGUUACUGUUAGUUGAUUCAUGAAUUUACAUUUGAUCGACAAACAUGAGAGAAGCUAGCUUAAUGUAGUAUUUCAUGGCUUUACAGCCCUUCUCUUCUUUUUCUUGUUUAAAUUUUAGAUUUUGUUGCAUUAUAGGUCUCUGAGAUGCAGAUGGAUCUUUCACUUCAUUCUUGCUAUGCACACUCUUAGAUGUUCUCUUCCUUUCUAACUGACCUAAUCAUAUAUCUUGAACACACUUUACCUUCAGGAAUUGUUGAAA
rnacentral:misc_RNA from 1 species